UACGAAGGGGGCUAGCGUUGCUCGGAAUGACUGGGCGUAAAGGGCGCGUAGGCGGAGUGCUUUGUCGGGCGUGAAAUUCCAGGGCUCAACCUUGGGGCUGCGUUCGAGACGGGCAUUCUAGAGUGGAGAAGAGGGUCGUGGGAAUUCCCAGUGUAGAGGUGAAAUUCGUAGAUAUUGGGAAGGAACACCGGUGGCGAAGGCGGCGACCUGGUCUUUUACUGACGCUGAGGCGCGAAAGCGUGGGGGAGCAAACAGG
rnacentral:rRNA from 1 species